AAAAUUGCGAGUUCAAGGUUUUAUUAGGCGUACAAGAAAAUAUAUCUAAUGAAUGGCGUGAGACGUAAGCCGUUUUCUGCUGUGGAUGGAGAAGCCUUCAAAAUUUUUUUCAGAUGCACCACAUUUUCCGAUUAACUGCAAUAAACGGAACCUGCAAGUUACCCAGCCUUUUGUUCGGAUUCCGGAACCCGACACCAUUAUUAUCUUAAAAUCGAAUAAACUCAUUUACAAUGUCUUUGGUUUUUCAUUUUGAUAUGAAGUAGUUAAAACGGUAAUGAUAAUAAGGGGAAUGAUUGAUCUGUUAGCCAUGUAACAAGUUGUCAAGCGCUCUCAAAAUUUUCUGUAAAGUUUAAUAUAUCAAUAUUGCUCUU